AGCCUUGAAGGGGUUCCGGAAGGAGCUCUGGAGCGGCAGGUAGUGAAUAUGUCGGCUUGAGUAACGAUAAACGGAGUGAGAAUCUCCGUCGCCGAAAGCCUAAGGUUUCCUGGGGAAGGUAAAUCCGCCCAGGGUUAGGCGGGACCUAAGGCGAGCCCGAAAGGGGUAGUCGAUGGACAGCAGGUUAAUAUUCCUGCCCUCUCAUGUGCGGUUGAUCCGGCGUGACGGAUCUUGAAGCUCAACGGGACAGUGAAGCGUCUAUAAGGCCUUUAUGGCCGAUGUUGGGUGGAAAGGUUCCAAGAAAAGCCGUCCGGUGACAAUCAUGAGACCCGUACUAAAACUGACACAGGUAGGCGUGGUGAAUAACCUCAGGCGCUCGAGAAAACGGUUGUGAAGGAACUAGGCAAAUUGACCCCGUACGUUCGCAAUAAGGGGGCCCUCCUGGAAACAGAGGGCGCAGAGAAAAGGCUCUGGCGACUGUUUAUCAAAAACACAGCACUGUGCUAACUCGCAAGAGGACGUAUACAGUGUGACGCCUGCUCGGUGCCGGAAUGUCAAGGAAGCAGGUUAGCCUCGGCGAAGCUUGCGACCGAAGCACCGGUAAACAGCGGCCGUAACUAUGACGGUCCUAAGGUAGCGAAGUUCCUUGUCGGGUAAGUUCCGACGCGCAUGAAUGGCGUAACGACUGGAGCACUGUCUCCACAACCGACUCGGUGAAAUAGUAGUGGCGGUGAAGAUGCCGCCUACCCGCAGCAAGACGGAAAGACCCCGUGGACCUUUACUGCAGGCUUAUAUUGGUUACGAACCUGUACUGCGUAGGAUAGGUGGGAGGCUUUGAAACUCGGAUUCCGGUCCGGGUGGAGCCGUCCUUGAAAUACCACCCUGUGCUCGUUUGUGGCCUAACCCCGAUUCCCAUGAAGCUGGGCGGGGGACCGUGUAUGCCGGGCAGUUUGACUGGGGCGGUCUCCUCCUAAAGAGUAACGGAGGAGUGCAAAGGUUGGCUCAGCGCGGUUGGAAACCGCGUUUUGAGUGUAAGAGCACAAGCCAGCUUUACUGCGAGUCAUACAGGACAAGCAGUCACGAAAGUGGGCUCUAGUGAUCCUGCGAUCCCGUGUGGAAGGGUCGUAGCUCAUCGGAUAAAAGGUACCCCGGGGAUAACAGGCUUAUCG
rnacentral:rRNA from 19 species